GGGGGCGCCGCGCUCCCGCCGUGCGCCGCGCUCUUCCCGGCCGCCCAGCCAGCCCCGAGAGGCCGAUCCGGGCGCGCUGGGGCCCCAGGCGGGGAAGCCGCUCCUACGCCGUGCGGCUCCCGCCCGGCUACAGGUAACAGAGAAGGGAUUUGACUUGCCCCAGGUCACACAGCUGAUACAAGACAAGCUUGCCUUGGAUCAUCCCCUCCAUGGAGAAUAGAAACUCUGGCACAUGCCUGUGUGCUGGGGGGUCGUGCAUUGGUUUAGGACCUGUGGGGAUGGAUUACGAAGUCAGCAGUGCACAGACCUUGGAUCAGUGAGGAGUCCAGCGCUGAUACACGUCCGAGAAACUAGAGGGACUUGAAGAGCAGCCCAGCCCCGGGACCCAACAUUGGAUGCUUCUUAAAAAAACUUACACCAAACCGUGGGAAAGACAGCAGAUUCCACCUUUACCCACUCCUGGUCUGGCUUUGGAUGCACCCUCUUUUGAGGAGCAGCUGAGGUGCACCUAGAAAUCAGGUCAUAUUGAUGGAUGUUACCUGGAAUUCUAUUGCCUCUUUGCCCUGUGCUCUUUUAGGAUGACCCCAACCACUGACAAGUAUUUCUGGAAGUCUGUGAAAGUGCCUCUCACAUGCUUAUAAAUAAAUCUGGUCAUACACAUGGGAUGCUUGCUGUUGUUUCCUCUUCCUGUCC